UACAGAGGUCCCAAGCGUUGUUCGGAUUCACUGGGCGUAAAGGGUGCGUAGGCGGUCGGGUAAGUCUGACGUGAAAUCUUCAAGCUCAACUUGGAAACUGCGUCCGAUACUAUUCGGCUAGAGGAAUGGAGGGGAGACUGGAAUACUUGGUGUAGCAGUGAAAUGCGUAGAUAAUCAAGUGGAACACCAGUGGCGAAGGCGAGUCUCUGGACAUUUCCUGACGCUGAGGCACGAAAGCCAGGGGAGCAAACGGG
rnacentral:rRNA from 1 species